AUGGAGGAAGCUUUAGCUCUCAAAUUCGGUCUAACACUAACGCAAAGGGCGGGAUGCAAUCGCCUUGUUAUAAAUUUGGAUAAUAUGAAGGUGAUUAAAACUAUGAAUGAUGGAGGACAGUCGGCGGGCACGGCAGCAGCAAUCUUCGAUGAUUGUUAUUUAUGCUGUGAUUUCGUUAUUGCUAAAUUUGAGCAAUGUAAUAGGAAAGCAAACAAAGUAGCUCAUGAGUUUGCUAGACUAGCUAAAUUUUCUUUGACUUCCGAUUAGUUUGAGAAGCCUUUAAAUGAAAUUGCAACGAUCCUCACAACGAUGUACUACUUAUCACAAAUGAAUAAAACCUGA
rnacentral:rRNA from 1 species